GUAGUGUUGAGUCCUCUGCUCUACGGCUGUGAAACUUGUGAAACAUCUACCGUCGCCACACCCAGCUGUUGGAACCGCUCCACCAGAGGUGCCUGCGUUCAAUAUGCAAGAUCAAGUGGCAGGACAAAGUGUCAAACCUCGAGGUCCUGCAGAAGUGCAGUCUCCCCAGCGUUGAAAGCCUGACCAUCAAGGCUCAGCUCCGCUGAAGGAGGGACAGCGUGGCCUGGGAAGACUCCGUCUCCGAUUGAGGGACACCCUGAAGGCCACCCUCAAGAACUGCAACAUCGAUGCAGUAAACUGGGAGGACACAGCUGCCGAUAGGGAAAGGUGGAGACACCAGGUCACCCAAGGACUCGAGAGCUUUGAACAGGCAAGGACAGAAGCCAUCCAAGAAAAGAGAGACCACAGGAAACAUGGUUCUCUCUCGUCAACACAAAAUCCCCUGCAGUAUCUGUGGAACACUGUGUGUCCCAGGGAUAGGGCUACGCUCCCACAUGAGGAGUCACGCUAAAAGGAAAUAACUGCUAGUCUACUCAUCCGUCAAAUCGACGGGAGACUCCAUCAUCAUCAUCAUUGAUGCUAGAGGAGUUAAUGAUAGAGAAACAUUUUAAGAUAUUAAGUCGCCAUCCUUGCAAUAAUUUUUUGAGAUAAAAUGUUGACUAAACUGACAGUUGUAUGUGAGUACUGUAUUCAACGGACUAUGAGUCGCUCGGAGUACAAGUUGCACCAACCAUAAAAUGCAUAAUA